AAAAAAGGCAAACACAACCCCCUGUCUGCAGUGAUUCCAUGGAAACCCAAAGCAAAUUAUUCAUACACAUAUGUGCAUGAGAUCAGCUCUUCCCCAAUCAAAGUGUGCCAGAAAUAGGAUGUACAGGGGUCAGUUUUUAUAUGGUCAGUUCUGGAUUAGCUGCUUUAUGGAACAGCAUUAAGCAACAAAAUUUGCUCUUGACUCAUUAUGGAAGAAGUGAUGCAAAAUGGAAGGGGGGGCUUGACUUCAGAUUUCAUGUCUGAAGCCAUCAGAGGUCAGGAUUUUUGAAUGCGAGACAUAUAAAGUAGGGUUCAUAUAAGUUCCAGGAUUCAAGCACAUUCUCAGCAUAGGAGUAUAAGGAUGGGAAUAUGUUCAUUACAAAAUGUUAUUUCAUUCAGAUUUCAAAGCUUGCCUCUCUUCUUGGACAUGUUUUGAUUUCUUUUUUGAUAUUUUCCUGCAAAAUUGUUUGACUUGUGUUACCUAAAAGGAACAUGCUCUCAAAGUCAUAAAGUAGGAAAAAGCACCAUGGAACAGCCUUUCCUGAGAUAUAGGCACUAAUUUUCAUUUAACAUCAAAAUUCAAGCAUCACUAUUCUCUUAAUAAAAUUGUUUGUCUUUCAUGUUCUACCAGUCAAGUGGUCCAGUCACAGGAAGAAGUUCUAUAAGUAAGACAUUUGUGAAGUUUACGUCCUCCCAUGCCUAGGCAGCAGCUCAGUGGUGGUUUUCAGGAUUGUAGUUUCAGUCACAAGUGUGCAUGUUUCAGCCAAGCCUCAUUUUAUUCUCUGACAGACAAAUGGACAACUUUUUGUAAGAUAACCUGAGACUUUUAUUCACAGUGCCCAUGCAAAUGCAUUUAUACACUCCUGUCUUUCAAGAAUAAAACCAAAGGUAAUUAUUCCUUGUUUUUUGUUGGGAAAGAAAGCAUCUUAUGUUUACCUCAGUGUUUGUGUAUGGGCAGAUACCACGAACACAACAAAGCACUGGAAGUUCAUUUUCUAGCUGACCUGCCAGUCAUUUCUCUAUGUGCAAGUGCCCUGACUCCUGCAUGAAAUUAAGCCUAACUUCACUUAGUUUUGUCUUAAGAGAUAAUUUUCAGAUAUUUUCCAGGAAUUUAUAGAAGCUUGUUUAGUUAUUGACUAGCUUUAAAAUUAUUUAAUGACUUGGAACUUGUACAGCAGUUGAAAACCACUGAAAAAUGGUUCUUAAUGCCAAAUGUAAUAACGAAAACCACCCAUGAAAACUGGAGAUGCAGGAAGAAACUGAGAGUACUGUGGUGAUAGAAAACACUUGCUAACUCCUUCAGUGCAAAUCUAAGCCUUGAUAAUGAGGCACACCUGGUCCCACUCAACCCUUCCCACAGCUGAUUUUCUGUGGUGAGUUAUUGCCACCUCCAUGCCAUUAAAGUGACUCAGAAGGCCGAUGCAGUUGGAUUGUUUAAUACUUUGCUCUUCUGUACUUAAGCAGCUGUGUCCCUACAGAAGCCAUUUUGGAUCUGGCUGCAGCUUGCUACACCUCCUUCUUCCAAGUGUGUCCCACCUGCAAUCCUGAAGGUGCCUUGCACCAAGGAGGAGGAAGAAUUCUUCAGUGGAAGAGGAAAUAAGAAGAGACAGGAAAUACUUGGCUGAACAGAGGGAGGAAAAACUUCCCUGACAGAGUGUGCCAGGAUGUGUCCAAAGGAAAUGCUGGUAUCUCCCUUCUCAAGGGAUUUCAAAAACUAAGCACUAGAAAAUGUACCACAGGGAACAAUACUGCAUUGGCAGGAAAAUGGGCUGGGUGAUCUAAUAAUUUUCCAUCUUUAUCUUGUUAAAGUCUAUGAAUAAUCCAGAUCUCUCUAGCUGCUUUUUUUUUCUUCCUUUUUCUUACUAAUUUCCAAAAUAUUGUAAAUUGGGAAUGAUUUAUUUUAAAAUAAAUAAUAUUAAUAAUUAUUGCUUUCAAUCCAUCAGUCCUAAAGCCCAACAAAUUCUGAUCUUUACUGUAACUUAAUCUACUUUCCAGAACUGUAACUUGCUAGGUGUAGAGCUAAUCUCAGGCCAAUGUGAAUAGUUACAGCUGAUUUAUACAGUGUAUGUCUGCAGAGUUUUGGGGACAGUCAUACAUAAGUUGCUGGUGGUCUGGGAUUAGUAAUUCUCUGCAAGUAAACCUGUAAAGUUUGGAUAACAAUAUUUGAAAAGGCUUGAUGUUGUAAAUUCCUUCAUUCCCUUGCCACCACAGAUUUCUCCUUAUAUAAUGACAUAAAAUUUCCCAAUAUCUCUACAUAUGUUAGUGUGAGCAGAGUUUGUUAAAGGCAAGCAUACACCAUCUAUAUGUCUUUAGCAGACGUGGUAGUAUCCAUUCAUUUAAUAAGGGAACAGAAACAUAGUGGAUAUUUUUGCUGAAUUGUCAGUCUUAUUGGUUUUGCAUUGUGCUGUUCACCUACCUGUAAAGAAGGGUUCUCUUUCAACUCUGAGAUAUUACAAUGACUUGUUUAUGAUAGACUUUAAAGGCUGCAAUUAAUGCUCGGUGCCUGUUACUUUCACUAAAUUAAUAAAAUUGCUGAUCCCUUUGCAAAUCUGUUAUGGACAACUUCAGUUAGUCAUCACAAUGAGAAAUAAACCUUUUGAAAAGCCCAUGCUAACAUUCACAAUACUACUAAUUAAUUUGAGAAAACAGUCAUACAGGUAGCUCCUGCUACAGUGAAACUAGUAUGAUGCACUCAAACCAGGAGCAUUCAACCAUAAUGGUGUGUUGCUAAUCAGGUCAACCUUCUGUGAGCAAGGAAUCAAUCAAAAAAAAGGAAUAGGAAGCUUGCAGUUCUUUUUGUGAGCUUGGGUAAACCUGUCCAUCAAUAUCUGUGUUCAGCAGUUAUUGUUUUGAAAAGAUUUUGUGUGUUUUAGCAAACUUAAAUGAAAAAUCAGUCACACCUUAAUUUAGCCUGUAAACUCCUGUCCCAUAUACCAUAACUUUUAAUUGUUUAGUUGCUUUGUAUGUUUUAUAUCUCUUAAAAUAAUGGUGUUAAAUAGAUGUAGCUGGGAAAAAUAGUGUUUCUAGGACAAGGAUGGCUAAACUAAUGAAUAGUUGAUAAAAAUACGGAAUAUGUGACAAUUAAUCUUUUAGACUCCAGUGUUAAGUCACACCUGAAAGAGCUGAAUAAAGGAAGUAAAAUUGCUGAGUUUGUUUCAACUUGGUUUAACGUUUGUCUAAAUGUCUAAGACACCGUGCUCUAUUUUGUGCUUGGAUAUUUGAAUAGUUCUUUGCAUUGGGGAAGAUUCUUCUUUUGAAUUGGAAGUAUUUUCAGUGUCUUUAAAAUUCCUACUGCUUUUGUGUAGCAAAAGUUGAAGUCUCCUGAAGCACUUCAGUAAGAAAAUGACACCUCUAUUUAGUAUCUACUUAUAGAAAAUUUAAGAUCCAUGGCUCACCACCAUGAAAAUAAAAUGUUAUUGGAUGAAGGUUGGUUUUUUUGAAGUGAAUAUUGAGUAACACAUCUCUAAAUUUGGGCAUCUGAUGGAGUGAAUGUUUGGGUUUUUUGCUGUUGUUGUUGUUGUUUUCUUUUGUUUAUUUUUUGGUUUUAAAUAAGAAAUUACCUUUGAAGCUAGCCUCACUUGACAAAGUGGAAGUCUUCAGGCUGUUUCAAGCUAUGUAUAUCGAUCUCCAGGCAUUCUGACAGUCUUCUGUAUUUUCUCACUGCAUUUGCAAAACCACCUAUUUCCUAUUAAGGAUGUGAUUUCAGGUUUAUUGAGCUGAGAGACCUUAUUUGUCUAUAGAUUCAAGACCUUUUAAAAUUUAUUUACCCUAAAGAAUGUGUAGAACCUUCCUUAAAAUGUGCCUAUGAUUACCAAAACAAGGGGCUUUUUAUGUACAUAUAUGAAAUAUUUAACAAAAAUGAUCUGUUUCUCCAGCUCUGCAAAAAGACUGCACAGAGAAACUCUGCCAGAUGACACCAGGUCGUUAAGUGCUUUGUGAGAAAUGUCUUGGCCUAUUCUAGUUACUGAUGAAACUUGCUUUCCAAUUCAGUGAAGCCAAAAUUUCACAGUUGAAUGAUGCCCUAGAGAUCAUCAAGAACACUAAGGAA